UACGAAGGGGGCUAGCGUUGCUCGGAAUCACUGGGCGUAAAGCGCACGUAGGCGGAUUGUUAAGUCAGGGGUGAAAUCCUGGAGCUCAACUCCAGAACUGCCUUUGAUACUGGCGAUCUCGAGUCCGGGAGAGGUGAGUGGAACUGCGAGUGUAGAGGUGAAAUUCGUAGAUAUUCGCAAGAACACCAGUGGCGAAGGCGGCUCACUGGCCCGGUACUGGACGCUGAGG
rnacentral:rRNA from 1 species